GGAAAAGAAACCAACAGGGAUUGCCCCAGUAACGGCGAGUGAAGCGGCAAAGUCAAAUUUGAAAUCUGGCCCCAGGCCCGAGUUGUAAUUUGCAGAGGAUGCUUUUGGCGCGGUGCCUUCCGAGUUCCCUGGAACGGGACGCCAUAGAGGGUGAGAGCCCCGUACGGUUGGACACCAAGCCUUUGUAAAGCUCCUUCGACGAGUCGAGUAGUUUGGGAAUGCUGCUCAAAAUGGGAGGUAUAUUUCUUCUAAAGCUAAAUAUUGGCCAGAGACCGAUAGCGCACAAGUAGAGUGAUCGAAAGAUGAAAAGCACUUUGAAAAGAGGGUUAAACAGCACGUGAAAUUGUUAAAAGGGAAGCGCUUAUGACCAGACUUGCGCCCGGUGAAUCACCCAGCUCUCGCGGCUGGGGCACUUUGCCGGCUCAGGCCAGCAUCAGCUCGCUGUCGGGGACAAAAGCUUCGGGAACGUAGCUCUCUUCGGGGAGUGUUAUAGCCCGUUGCACAAUACCCUUCGGCGGGCUGUACGCGCUCCGCAAGGAUGCUGGCGUAAUGGUCAUCAGCGACCC
rnacentral:rRNA from 1 species